rnacentral:rRNA from 1 species
UACACGCUGUGACUAGCAUAUCAAUAAGCGGAGGAAAAGAAACUAACAAGGAUUCCCCUAGUAACGGCGAGUGAAGCGGGAAGAGCUCAAAUUUGAAAUCUUAAAGGGUUUCCCUUUACGAAUUGUAGUUUAAAGAAGUGUUUUCCUGUUGAGGUUUUGGUAAAAGUUCUUUGGAAUAGGACAUCAUAGAGGGUGAGAAUCCCGUAUUUGACCUUUACUUUCAACUUUGUGAUACACUUUCAAUGAGUCGGAUUGUUUGGGAAUGCAGUCCAAAAUGGGUGGUAAAUUUCAUCUAAAGCUAAAUAUUGGCGAGAGACCGAUAGCGAACAAGUACCGUGAGGGAAAGAUGAAAAGAACUUUGAAAAGAGAGUUAAACAGUACGUGAAAUUGUCAAAAGGGAAGCGUUUGACACCAGUGUUGUUUUUCUGAAAAUCAAUUAAAGAACUGUUUAUGCUAAGCUGUUUAGACUUUAUCAGCUAUCUGUUUAGUUUUGAGCUUUUCUUUAAUGCACUUUUCAGUUAACAAGUCAACAUCAAUUUCUUUUGCUGUAAAAAAGCUUGAGGAAGGUGGCUUGAGAUUCGUCUUAAGUGUUUAUAGCCUCUUGCCUAUGCAGUCGGAGAGAUUGAGGUCUGCAGCGUAGAUCCUUCGGGGCUAAAUGCAUUUGUGCUAAGUUAUAGCAUUUUAUAGACAACUUGUUGACUAUGAUUUGUCUUGUAGCUUACUCGCUUAUGUUAUUUUACCUACGCUUAGGAUGUUGAUAUGCAUGACUGAUAU